AACGAACGCUGGCGGCAGGCUUAACACAUGCAAGUCGAACGAGAUCUUCGGAUCUAGUGGCAGACGGGUGAGGAACACGUGGGAACAUCCCUUUCAGUUCGGAAUAACGUUGGGAAACUAACGCUAAUACCGGAUACGUCCUUCGGGAGAAAGAUUUAUCGCUGAAAGAUUGGCCCGCGUCUGAUUAGCUAGUUGGUGAGGUAAUGGCUCACAAAGGCUACGAUCAGUAGCUGAUCUGAGAGGAUGAUCAGCCACAUUGGGACUGAGACACGGCCCAAACUCCUACGGGAGGAAGAAGUGGCGAAUACUGGACAAUGGGCGGAAGCCUGAUCCAGCCAUGCCGCGUGAGUGAUGACGGCCUUCGGGUUGUAACGCUCUUUUGUCCGGGAAGAUAAUGACUGUACCGGAAGAAUAAGCCCCGGCAAACUUCGUGCCAGCAGCCGCCGUAA
rnacentral:rRNA from 1 species